GACGAACGCUGGCGGCGUGCCUAACACAUGCAAGUCGAACGAGACCUUCCGGCCUUGUGGCGCUCGUCUGCGUGCCACGUGGGGACCUACCCGUGGGUUCGGUAUCCCUCACCGUAGGGGGUCCUCAUACAGCAUAGUGUCUUCGGGCCAAAGAUUUCUGGCCUUGGGAUGGGCCCGCGUUGGUUUCGCUAGUUGGUAGGGUAAAAGCCUACCAAGGCGACGAUCGAUAGCUGGUCGGAGAGGAUGAUCAUCCACACUGGGACUGAGACACGGCCCAGACUCCUACGGGAGGCAGCAGUGGGGAAUAUUGGACAAGGGGGGAAAGCCUGACCCAGCAAUGCCGCGUGAGUGAUGAAGGCCGUAGGGUUGUAAAGCUCUUUUACCCGGGAUGAUAAUGACAGUACCGGGAGAAUAAGCACCGGCUAACUCCGUG
rnacentral:rRNA from 1 species